AGAACAGUCCUACAUCAAAAACAUUACAGCCAGACAGUAGCAACAAGUGUUGCCAUGGGAUUUUACAGGACAACACUUUAUAUUUCAUCAUUUUUAUUCAUCUUUUUAGGCUCAUCUGUCCACUUUUCAGCCCGACCAGUAUCUUACAACAACAGAAACAUUUCCAACGGUUGCAAUGAAACGAGGACCGAGUACAAUGUUAAAGGUGAUAUUGAAGAAAAUGUCUCUCUGGGUGACGUCAGCAACAUUAAUGUUUCUGGAACAAACCGAGGAUGCAUCGGAGGAGGGAACGUCUACAAUGUGACCGGACGAAUUGCAGCCAAGUCCAAUAUUGGCAAUGUCAGUAAUGUUACUGUUGGUAACAACUCAGGAUCGAUUGGUUCAGGGAACCGCAUCAACAUCAGCUGAGGAAAUUGCAAUCCAACAGAUCAUGACCCACUCGGCCAAAAAUUAUGUCUUAUGAUGGAAAUCUUAUUCAUGCAUUGAAAUCAGAUUAAAGAUUCUUCAACUUUAAUAUUAAAGAAAUAGCUGCAUUAAA